rnacentral:rRNA from 1 species
AUUGAACGCUUGCGGCAGGCCUAACACAUGCAAGUCGAGCGAGCGGCGGACGGGUGAGUAAUGUAUGGGGACUGCCCGAUAGAGGGGGAUAACUACUGGAAACGGUGGCUAAUACCGCAUACUAUCGGAUAACCCAUAUUGGAUUAGCUAGUAGGUGGGGUAAAGGCUCACCUAGGCGACGAUCCCUAGCUGGUCUGAGAGGAUGAUCACCCACACUGGGACUGAGACACGGCCCAGACUCCUACGGAGGCAGGAGGGGGGAGUAUUGCACAAUGGGAGCAAGCCUGAGGCAGCCAUGCCGCGUGUAUGAAGAAGGCCUUAGGGUUGUAAAGUACUUUCAGCGGGGAGGCGUUAGCCGCAGAAGAAGCACCGGAUAACUCCGUGCCAGCAGCCGCGGUAAUUC